rnacentral:misc_RNA from 1 species
GCAAACUUGGUCAUUUAGAGGAAGUAAAAGUCGUAACAAGGUUUCCGUAGGUGAACCUGCGGAAGGAUCAUUAUUGAAUAAACUUGAUGGGUUGUAGCUGGCUCUUCGGAGCAUGUGCACACUUGUCAUCUUUAUCUAUCCACCUGUGCACAAUUUGUAGUCCUGAGAAGAAUAAGAUCACCCAAUCCCGUUUGUCGGCUGACGUGUCGGAUCCGAGGACUGCUACAUGAAAGUGUGGCUUUCUUUGAACCGGGUAUAUUAUCGGGUUGUGAUUUUCUUUAUCAGGUCUAUGUCUUCAUACACUACGAAACAUGUUGUAGAAUGUACUUGACAGGCCUCUGUGCCUAUAAAAACUUAUACAACUUUCAGCAACGGAUCUCUUGGCUCUCGCAUCGAUGAAGAACGCAGC